GUGAAUCAUCAAAUCUUUGAACGCAUAUUGCACUCUCUGGUAUUCCGGAGAGUAUGCCUAUUUGAGGGUCAUUUGGAAUAAUAUAAAUUUUUCGAGAUUUUCUUGUAAUCAAGAAUGGGAAGGUCCAGCAUUCGUGUGGGGGUCGCCUAAAAUGCAAGACAAGCUCAUUUCUUGGGUUGCGUGAUACGUUCAGUUACCUCGUGACUUCACAAGGAAUCUUUGAGCGUGUUAGGAAUUUUGUUCGAGCUAAAAUUUUUUU
rnacentral:misc_RNA from 1 species